rnacentral:rRNA from 1 species
UACAGAGGGUGCAAGCGUUAAUCGGAUUUACUGGGCGUAAAGCGCGCGUAGGCGGCUAAUUAAGUCAAAUGUGAAAUCCCCGAGCUUAACUUGGGAAUUGCAUUCGAUACUGGUUAGCUAGAGUGUGGGAGAGGAUGGUAGAAUUCCAGGUGUAGCGGUGAAAUGCGUAGAUAUCUGGAGGAACACCGGUGGCGAAGGCGGCAUCCUGGACCGGUAUUGACGCUGAGGCGCGAAAGCUAGGGGAGCAAACGGG